GGACUAGAGUCGCAUCAUGCCACAACUCUUGUCCUGGUGUGCUAGGGUCCUCGGAGAGGAUCUGCUGGCCUUGACCUAUUGGUGGGGCAGACAGUGCCUCCACGAGUGCCCUGCUCAGAAACGUGC
ensembl:snoRNA